CAGCAGCCGCGGGAAUACGAAGGGUGCAAGCGUUAAUCGGAAUUACUGGGCGUAAAGCGUGCGUAGGCGGUUUGUUAAGUCUGUUGUGAAAUCCCCGGGCUCAACCUGGGAAUGGCAAUGGAUACUGGCAAGCUAGAGUGUGUCAGAGGAUGGUGGAAUUCCCGGUGUAGCGGUGAAAUGCGUAGAGAUCGGGAGGAACAUCAGUGGCGAAGGCGACUAUCUGGGCCAACACUGACACUGAGGCACGAAAGCGUGGGGAGCAAACAGGAUUAGAUACCCCUGUAGUCCCUGUCUCUUAUAC
rnacentral:rRNA from 1 species